UAGGGAAUCUUCCACAAUGGACGAAAGUCUGAUGGAGCAACGCCGCGUGAGUGAUGAAGGUUUUCGGAUCGUAAAACUCUGUUGUAAGGGAAGAACAAGUACGAGAGGUAAUGCUCGUACCUUGACGGUACCUUGCGAGAAAGCCCCGGCUAACUACGUGCCAGCAGCCGCGGUAAUACGUAGGUGGCAAGCGUUGUCCGGAAUUAUUGGGCGUAAAGCGCGCGAAGGCGGCCUUUUCAGUCUGAUGUG
rnacentral:rRNA from 1 species